rnacentral:rRNA from 1 species
UACGGAGGAUGCAAGCGUUAUCCGGAAUGAUUGGGCGUAAAGCGUCCGCAGGUGGCAAUGUAAGUCUGCUGUCAAAGCGUCUGGCUCAACCAGAUAAAGGCAGUGGAAACUACAUAGCUAGAGUAAGGUAGGGGUAGAGGGAAUUCCCAGUGUAGCGGUGAAAUGCGUAGAGAUUGGGAAGAACACCGGUGGCGAAGGCGGCAUCCUGGACCAACACUGACGCUGAUGAGCGAAAGCCAGGGGAGCAAACGGG